CGCCUUUUGAACUAUAAACAUAAAAGGUCCUGCCUGCCCAGUGACACUUGUUUCAACGGCCGCGGUAUCAUGACCGUGCAAAGGUAGCGUAAUCACUUGUCUUUUAAAUAAAGACCAGUAUGAAUGGCAAGACGAAACCUAACUGUCUCCUUAAGCUAAUCAAUGAAACUGAUCUUCCCGUGCAGAAGCGGGAAUAAUAAUAUAAGACGAGAAGACCCUGUGGAGCUUCAAAAUUAAGCUACAAAUUAUAUGCCUAGCAUACAGUUUUGGGUUGGGGCGACCAUGAGGUAAAACAUAACCCUCGAGACAAAAACCUAAGAAGGACACUUCUAAUAAAUAAUAGUAUAGUAAUUGACCCAAUAAUUGAUCAACGAACCAAGUUACCCCAGGGAUAACAGCGCAAUCUACUCAAAGAGCCCUUAUCGACGAGCAGGUUUACGACCUCGAUGUUGGAUCAGGACUUCCAAAUAAUGUAACAGUUAUUAAAGGUUCGUUUGUUCAACGAUUAAAGUCCU
rnacentral:rRNA from 1 species